AUUAACAGGACAGUGGGUCCCUAGGAGCAGGGUUGAAGACCUAGGCACCCCCCCCCCCCCCCCCCGCUCAUGCGAUAUAAAGCUUUUUUAGCAUUUCUUCAUGGUGAAACACCAUCUGCCUGAAUUAUGACUGUCUGGGAUGCAUAUGAAAUUCCAUCAGCUUCAUUCUCCUGAAACAGUAGAGGUUGUGGAAGAACUAAUAACCUGAACCAGGACUGGAUUCAAUAGUGUUCAGGUCAGAAUCUCUCAGUUUGGUAGUUAGUAGUUUGUAAUUACCACAUAAGACUAUCACAUUCUCUUUUUUUCUUGCUUUCCAGGGUAAAAUGGAACAAGAUGAUUGGACACUGGCUGACGUUUUUUAUACACUGAUACCUUAAUUGAUUAUUUCAAAAUUAUUUUAUUCACUUAUCUUCAU
rnacentral:lncRNA from 1 species